GGGCUUCUCCUUCGGGAGCAGAGUGACAGGUGGUGCAUGGUUGUCGUCAGCUCGUGUCGUGAGAUGUUGGGUUAAGUCCCGCAACGAGCGCAACCCUUGAUCUUAGUUGCCAUCAUUAAGUUGGGCACUCUAAGGUGACUGCCGGUGACAAACCGGAGGAAGGUGGGGAUGACGUCAAAUCAUCAUGCCCCUUAUGACCUGGGCUACACACGUGCUACAAUGGACGGUACAAAGAGCUGCAAGACCGCGAGGUGGAGCUAAUCUCAUAAAACCGUUCUCAGUUCGGAUUGUAGGCUGCAACUCGCCUACAUGAAGCUGGAAUCGCUAGUAAUCGCGGAUCAGCAUGCCGCGGUGAAUACGUUCCCGGGUCUUGUACACACC
rnacentral:rRNA from 1 species